GCUGUGUCAGGGGUAGACGCUUGGGGAUUUCCGAAGAUAAUCCUGUGGAGGGAAGAGCAGAGCAAAUGGAAAAGUCUGUGCCCUUUUAAGCUUCUCCUGGACGCAAAGGCUUUGAUCCUGUGAUGUGUCUGACGCCUUGCAGGUGUGUGGUGUGUAUGUGUAAGAGAAGCCAGUAAUUACCCCUUGCUGAUGGAGCUGACCAAACACAGUCUUUCCCAUGGCAACUGAAAACAUAAAAAAUAAAAUUUAAAAAAUUGGAGGUUACAUAAUUGCCGUCCCCGGAGGAGGAGGAAUGCGGAGAUCAUGGAGUUUCUUGUGGCUUUUGGUUGAAGGUGUUGGUGAAGAUGCAGAGGUCCUGCUGAGUAGCUGAACAGGAUGCCGUUGCUUGCUUUGAAGUGAGGACAUCGAAGAUUUGUUCAGGACCAGGUAGCUGAUGAGAGAGAGAGAGAGAAGAAAGAGCCCACUGUCAGCCCAGGUCCUCCUCCUCCUUGCUCAAGAGCCACCACACAUGCAAUUCUAUGGGAUCUCACUUUGUUUCUCUCUGGAACUCUCUACUCUCUUUGCAGAUUAUUUGUUAGGACCUCUUACACAAUUUUCUUUUUAAUUUAAGGCCAUGUUGCCAGGAAGCGUUGUCGUGAUGUAUUUAAAUAAAAUAAUCUUUUGUU